rnacentral:rRNA from 1 species
GACGAACGCUGGCGGCGUGCCUAAUACAUGCAAGUCGAACGCAGUGGGGCCGGGUGAGUAACACGUGGGUAACCUCCCAUCAGAGGGGAUAACACUUGGAAACAGGUGCUAAACCGAUACUGAUGGAUGGACCCGCGGUGCAUUAGCUAGUUGGUGAGGUAACGGCUCACCAAGGCCACGAUGCAUAGCCGACCUAGGAGGGGGAUCUGUCACGCUGGGACUGAGACACGGGCCAGACUCCUCCGGAGGGCAUCAGGAGGAAAUCUUCGGCUAGGGACGAAAGUCUGGCCGAGCAACGCCGCGUGAGUGAAGAAGGUUUUCGGAGCGUGAAACUCUGUUGUUAGAGGAGCGGUAUCUAACCAGAAAGCCACGGCUAACUACGUGCCAGCAGCCGCGGUAAUAC